CGGGACCAGCUCCUUCGGGAAGCUGGCGAGCGGCGGACGGGUGAGUAACGCAUGGGAACUUACCCAGUAGUGGGGGAUAGCCCGGGGAAACCCGGAUUAAUACCGCAUACGCCCUGAGGGGGAAAGCGGGCUCCGGCUCGCGCUAUUGGAUGGGCCCAUGUCGGAUUAGUUAGUUGGUGGGGUAAUGGCCUACCAAGGCGACGAUCCGUAGCUGGUCUGAGAGGAUGAUCAGCCACACCGGGACUGAGACACGGCCCGGACUCCUACGGGAGGCAGCAGUGGGGAAUAUUGGACAAUGGGGGCAACCCUGAUCCAGCCAUGCCGCGUGUGUGAAGAAGGCCUUAAGGUUGUAAAGCACUUUCAGCAGGGAGGAAAAGCUGAUCGUUAAUACCGGUCAGUGUUGACGUUACCUGCAGAAGAAGCACCGGCUAACUCCGUUCCAACAACCGCGGUAAUACGGAGGGUGCAAAGCGUUAAUCGGAAUUACUGGGCCUUAAAGGCGCCUAAGCGGUUUGGUAAACGAAUUGUGAAAGCCCGGGCUCAAACUGGGAAAUGGAAUUCCAACUGCCAAACUUGAAUGCAACAAAAGGCAAUUGNANUCCAAGUGUUACCGUGAAAUC
rnacentral:rRNA from 1 species